CUUCAGCUGCAAAAGAGAGGACCUCGUAUGAGGAUUUGAACGAUGGCAGGACGCAGAUCUAGGAACAGUAUUUCUGUGAAGAUGUGCCCUCAGCAGAGAGCUCGACAUGAGGCCUACAGCGAGCCGUCUAAAGAAGCGCAGAGAUGGAUGGCAGUGGCAAGACAGCGUGUGUGUGCACAACUAAAUAAUCAACAAUCCCAGCAGGUCUGCAACUCCACCGCUGCUGCUGAGCGCCAAAAUCAGCUCACAGCACAAUUAAAGGCCUCUGAGGCCAGGAGUCGUAUCCGACAACAGAGACUUCGCUAUCAAGAGCUAAAGGAGAAGGAAAUUAAGUUAAUGAUUUCGUGCCAGUCUAACGUGCAAAGAGCUGUUCGCCUCGAGCGUUUACUCUCUGUGAGAGAGCGAAAGAUUAACCACACCGACUGCAUGGACCAAUUACAGACUCGAACCCUGUCGUCUACAGAUCCUACAGUCCACAGAUGUACAUCGUUAGCGAGCUAACUAGACAAACUGGUAACAGCGGGAAAGCCGUCCAAACGAAGACCAGAAGAGUUGAAAAGAUCCUGGAUGAUAAGGAUCUGACCCUCAACUGCAGAUGACUGAAGACAAAAAAAAAAAAAUAAACUAUACAUUUUCUGAUUGCUCUGAGAGUUAAAAUGAAGAUAACACUGUGCACAUUGAGGCCUCAUGUGUCAAAUCUCUAUUACUGGAUUUGUAAGUUUAUGUUUAAGUUAAAGUUAAGGUUUGUAUUCAAAAAUAUUUUAAAAUGGAUGUUAUAUUAUAUAUGGAUAUUAUAUCAUUUGUCAAUCUAGUGCUUCAACUAAAUUGGUAUUCAACCUAGGCUCAUUCUGAAAUGAGCAUCUGAAAAUGCACUGCUAUAUACAUUUCUGGAGAGCGCCAAAUACAUCCCAGGUGCUACAUUUUUUAUUUUUUUUGCAAUUCCACCAAAGGGCACUGUAUAAGCUUUUUGAGAUCUCAAAUUUCUCUUGCAAGUGCCAUUCAAGCCUGCUUUUCUCGUGUAGAGCUGUCCAUAUGGAGGUAAGCGGUCAGCUGGUAUGUGUGAAAAGGAACAGAUCAUGCCACCCCAUUGUGUUUGUUUUAAAGAUGAAAUGCAGCCAUACUGUAUGUACUUCUGGUGAUCUACAUAAAUGUAUAUAGGGUUACGUUUUCAGAAUGAGUCUAGCCUCUUUCAUACAGUGAUACUGGUAAAUACAACCCAGGCUCAUUUCGGAAACGUAGCCAAGCGGACGUUUCUGGAGACCGCGAAAUACGUCCCAGGAGGCACGUAUUUGUGCAGUUUUUGUUUAAGCGAAUCCACGAGCGACGUUCGCACCUGCGCUGUUCUCGCGUAAAGCCGCCGGGGGCCACUGUCGAGUGAACGUCUGUCUGACUGACUAAAUGACCGAAUGAUUGACUGGGUGACCGGCCAAUCGGCCGACCCACCCACCUCCUUUUCCUUCCCAAAAUCCAAGCAACGAUUAACAAAAGCCAUCUCGUAAAAUAAAAGCCCUCGUCUGGUUUUGACCACGUUUUUGGAUUUCACCACGUUCUCACCCUCUCAUGAACUCAUUCACUUUAUUUUUUAGAUUCUUUUUAUGUCUUACCAGAUUUCUGGAACCGCUUUUUCCCAGACACUAACCCGGUCAUCGCGGCCAGCUACCCUCUGGCUCUUCACUCCGCCGACGUACACGAC
rnacentral:lncRNA from 1 species